CACGCCUAUCCAUCGCCCCAGUUUUUAUCAUUUCAUCGUGAUUACCAUCCCACGCCAUCCAUAGGGUGUGCCUUCUGCCCUUCUCACCACUCUGAACUCUGAGGAAGUGGAAAUUGGGUUGGGGAAGUUUUUUGAGCUCGAAAUUAAACCCAGUUCUAGUAGAAUAGUAGAAGCUGGUGCUGAGAUGGUCGGUAGGCAGUGGCACUCAUAGGUUUCCAUUGCUUCAAAUCUAUUUGGUUUUAGGUGAUUGGGCACCCAAAACUCACGACACUGUUGCUACACAUUAGUUCAGGAAUCAAGGCAAAUAGCGGUAUUUCCCUUUGGGGUGAAUGGACGAACUGAUUAUGGGAAGACCAACCAAGUAGUUUAUACAGUACUCACAUAAUUUCUCACACUUCCAGCGAAUUAAACUGAUGAUUAGAUGUGCCUUCUCUCCUUCGUACAUUGUUUGGGGGUUUGGUUUGAGAAGUGGGUUGCAGCACUCAUGAUUUUGCUUGUUUCGGGGAUGGAAUGAAUUGGGCAUCAACAUCUAACACACACACACACACACACACACACACACACACAGAGAGAGAGAGAGAGAGAGAGAGAGAGAGAGGAGAGAGGAGAGAGGAGAGAGAGAGAGAGAGAGGAUGAUUCUCUUUAUUACGUCAACCAUGUAGUAGAAACAAGAUAUAACUAAACAGCUAGGGUUUUGAAGUUGACUCGGUAGCUGAAUCAUGGUCCAUGAAUUUGUGUAAAACGACAAGUGCGCUGCUGAAUUAAAAUUCUACCUGUUCAUUCCACUGCCCAGUUACCAUCUGAAAGGUUCUAUUUUGCCACCGCAACUCUAAUUAGAUUGUUAUAGUUCAGACUAAGGGGAUCAAGAUUGGUCAUCUGUUAGCUAUGUACUGUGGACCUCAACACUAGCUGAGUACCUAUGCAGCUAAUCAUUGAUCUUGUCUUGGGUGAAAGGCUGGCGUUUGUUAAUUCAGAUACUGAAAGGUAACCCACACUGACUUUAUUUGUUUACUUUCCUUCUGAACUCUUAUUUGCUUAGCUUCUAUUGAUGAUAUUUCUAAUCUUUUAUCUUCGUCGGUAAACUCAACUGCAUCUCAGUUUUCUGUUCCCAUUUCCUGGAUUGCGGGUCCUGAUGCGCAAGAUUCUUCUGUUUGCUACGGCACACGCAGGCCUGGACGAUGGCAAGCAUUGACGUGCGCACGUCGUUGCAACAGACACACCUCAACCCUCCCGACGCACGCAAUAAUCAGCGGUGCCAAAAUGAUUUGGUGUUUGCAAGGGUCGCUUUUGUUGCAUUUUCUACGUGAGAAACCAUCUCAGGCUAUUUGGAUGCACCUGCACAGUACUGAUAGUUCAUGAAAUUCAUCAACCUGCUGUUGCCGCAACCAACCAAAAUUUGCUCUAGCAGAGUGAUGAAUACAAUAUUCAUGCUAAGCUUUCUUCAAAUUAUGCUAAUUGAUCUUAAAAAGCUGGCUACUGGUGUUAUUUGCUGCAAUUUAUUUCUGACAGCCAGGUAGUCUUGGAAUGCUUUCGUGAUGCAAUUUAUUUCUGACAGACAAGCUAUGCUAAUUGAUCUUGAAAAGCUGGCUACUGGUGUUAUCUGCUUUGUGGAAGGCUGUUAGCAUUAAACUUUAGUGCUCGGCUGUUCAUCAUAGUCUCAUUCCCUAGAUGAUUAGCGAGGCAUGAAAAAUAGGUGAAAUUGCAGGAAAAUUGAAGAUGGGAACACGAUUCAUUUUGUCAAUGGGAACAUCUACUGUUACAGAUACACUUUCUGUAUUCUACCUAUCGAUGGCGUAAUGUUUGAAUAUUAAGUCAUUUCUUUUUGUCAUUAGCAGGUGCUUUUAUUCAUGUUCAUAUUCCACGUAUGCAUGUGCUGCUCCGGUGGUGUUUUAUUAGUUGAUUGGCAUAUAUGGAUCUCUCCAUGUUUAUUAGUUGAUCUCCAACCCCUACUCUGCUGUGGUGUUGUGGGAGCAAGAAGAGCAUGCAUGCUUUCUCUCUACAUCUAGGGUCCAUACGGCCAGAUUGACGGGCCUAAACUCUGGGUUUCUUUCAAGAAUCAUGAGAGAACAUUCAAGGAGUGGCUUAUUUGGAAAUUAGAACCUUCAGAUUUCUUAGAAGUGAGGUUACUUUCCAACUAGAAUUAUAGGCAAGCAUUGGUCUUUAAUUUGGAAGUGAUUAUCAUGUCUAAGAAGGGAGAUCAACCCGGUUUGGUGUACAUGAUCUUCACUCGGAUUUAUGUGAAUAUAAGCGUAAGAGGUCUAGUGGCAAUGCUACAAAAUCAUUGCAGGCGUGAGUAUCCGGAUUGCACUACUGCUGGCCGUUUCUUGCGAUUGCGUACAACAGGCUUCUGACAAAGCCAAGUCAUGGCCUCAUUAGGCCCCUUUUUUCAGCCAAACUGAAAGCACUUCAUGUUAGCUUGUAUUCGCUUUUCGAUUAACUACAAUGCAUUGUACCCAUCCAUGCUCCAGGGAUAUAAUAACGUUGUAGAUAGACGGAGACUGAAUCAGUUCACACUACUUUGAUGUCUAUCGAGCCAAUGGGACAGCAAAGGUAGUUCCUUUGCACAAUUUGACGAACGUUAUUUCAUAUUACAUGAUAUGUCUGACUCAUUUCAGUGGGCAUUCAAUUAAUUUGAGGCAUCCUUUCCUAGGAUCUUACCUUGAUAUUCCUCUAUUUUCUCCUAUUUGUACCAUUCUUUUUUAAGAACUGAAAUAAAUAUAACCAGUGUUACAAAUGUUUGCUGAGGAAAAGUCCUUGCAGAAAAGAAGAACUGGAAGUAGGUUAUCUAUCUUCACGAGCAAGUCGGCAUCUGUAAACCUUCACCGGAGCCAUUCCAGCUCUUUCAGAGCCACAAGGCAAGGAAGUUGAGGAACCAAGACCCCAACGGUGCGGAGCAGUUUGCCAUCGAGAGGACUAGGGCUGCCAUCAGGGACCUCUAAACCAAGCUCAACAUCUCCCUCGUGCCUCCAUCAACACCGUGUCCUGGAGGGUCGUCGCCGUCCGCGACGACGAGCUACUGCCGCAGCUUUGUCAGCCACAUGGUUAGAGGGAGGCAUCAAGGGCCUGCCACCGCUGCCGGGGCCGACGUGCGUGUAAUUUCUAUUAAUGUAUCUUAUGUUGCCAAACAACAACAUGCUCCUGUCAAUGCUAUAUCGUUGUGGGCGUGGCAUUUCAGUUUCUUCCUCAGGUGAUAUUCCAAUAUAAUAAGUUCCAUCAA